GCCAACGUCCAUACCACGUUGAACACACCGGUUCUCGUCCGAUCACCGAAGUUAAGCAACGUCGGGCGCGGUCAGUACUUGGAUGGGUGACCGCCUGGGAACACCGCGUGCCGUUGGCACUU
rnacentral:rRNA from 1 species